GAUUAAGAGAAAUAAGGGCACACGGUGGAUGCCUAGGUAAUAAGAGCCGAUGAAGGACGUGGUAAGCUGCGAUAAGCCUGGAGUAGUUGCAAUCGAACUUUGAUCCCAGGAUUUCCCAAUGGAGAAAUCCGCUAAGACUUCAUCUUAGCAG
rnacentral:rRNA from 1 species